rnacentral:rRNA from 1 species
UGCGCAGGCGGGAGAUUAAGUCAGUGGUGAAAGCCCCGAGCUCAACUUGGGAACUGCCAUUGAUACUGGUCUUCUUGAAUUUAGUUGAGGCAGGCGGAAUACAGCAUGUAGCGGUGAAAUGCAUAGAUAUGCUGUAGAACACCAAUUGCGAAGGCAGUUUGCUAAACUAACAUUGACGCUGAGGCACGAAAGCGUGGGGAGCGAACA